CCGGGUGGUGAGUACAGAACGAACUUUUCUUUCACUUUUUACUAAAGAAUACCGUGUGCACACAAAUUAAAACCCUCUUGUGACAAUUGUAGUAAAGAUGCAAGUAGGGAUCGU